GCCUAUACCCAGUUCCCGGAUCUCGCCGGCGUCCAGGUUGCCAGCCUCGCGCCACUGAAAUCUGGGGGCUUGGGAGGCGUCGACCUCGGUGGAAAAUGGGAUGGAAUGACCCGAGUCGGCCAUCUAGGGCUUGCCCAGCGUUGCCCGGGGCAGUGCUGCCUUCGUCGCUCUGCAGCCGCAGCAGAUGUCAUAUUCAUCACCUGUCGCUGCUCGGUUACAACUUUCACCAGGACUCCCGUGGAACUCGGCUUGAGGGCAGGAUGCCUUGGUGGAAAGGAAGUUGCCUUGUGGCCACUUCACCCCCAGGCUGGCAGAGCCCGGGCAUCCCCAUGUGAACCAGAAAAGAAGGAAUUUCUUCUUCUCUGGAACACCCCUACCCCUGGCUGGUUUCUCCUUUUCCAUGACUGGGCUGAUUGCUCAUCUCCCGAACCUCCACUGACCAAAGGAAUAAAAGAAGCUGAUGCCUCUAGCCAGUCAGGCCAUGGCCUGGUGCUGGGGAUAGCAUGACACUCAAGUUGGAGUCAGUAUAAAGUGAAACCUAGUCCCUGUAGCACUACUGGGUGCAUCCCACAGAUGGGGCAUUGCUGUGUGUUGAGCACUUGUGCUGUACCCAGGUGUUACAUUCAUGCAGCAAGAAACAAAUAUUUCUUGUUUUGUUUUUUUGGAGUACUGGGGUUUGAACUCAGCCUACACCUUGAGCCAUCCAGUAGCCCUUUUUUGUGAUAGGUUUUUUUCAAGAUAGGGUCGCAAGAACUAUUUGCCCAGGCUGGCUUGGAACAGUGAUCCUCCUGAUCUCUGUCUCCUGAGUAGCUAGAAUUACAGGCAUGAGCCACCAGUGCCCAGCUGCCCUUCAAAUGUUUGUGGAGCAGUGGUCUUCCUUAGGCUCAUGACAAGGUGAUGCCUCUAGCCAGUCAGGCCAGGACCCCAGUCCUGGCUACUCAGGAGGCAGAGAUGGGGGGCAAGGGGGAAUCAUGGUUCGAAGCCAGCCUGGGCAAGUAGUUCCUGAGACUGUAUCUUGAAAAUAUCCAUCAUAGAAAAGGGCUGGUGGAGUGGCUCAUGGUAAAGGCCCUGAGUUCAAGCCCCAAUACUGCAAAAAAAAGAAGAGGGGCCUCCUCAUAGUCAAUGUAGCAGUGGAAGCUCAAAAUGAAGUUGGCCUGCAGUGAAGAUGGAGGAGAGAAGAUAAAGAUAUCUAGGAGGUAGAUGGUCAGGCCUUGAUUGAUUCUCUUUGGGAUUGGAGGUGGGCAUUGAGUCCAAGGGAAGAACCCAGGAAUAACUCUCAGGCAAAUGGUGGCAUAGGAGAGAUGGUGUCACCACAAGACAGUAGCUGCAAUUGGAGGAGGGACUGGUAUUCUUGGGGUUCUCUUGGAGUAAGAGGUAGCCCUCCAGGGUCAUCAGGACAAAGCAGCCUGGGCCAUAGGUGUGCAUUGCUGCAUUAAUACGGGUGUCACAAUGAAACUGACUAAAAACAGCCUGACAGGAAAAGGGAU
rnacentral:lncRNA from 1 species